GGAAUAUUGGUCAAUGGCCGGAAGGCUGAACCAGCCAUGCCGCGUGAAGGUCAGUGCCCUAUGGGUUUUAAACUUCUUUUAUAUGGGAAUAAAGUGCAGUAUGUAUACUGCUUUGCAUGUACCUUAUGAAUAAGGAUCGGCUAACUCCGUGCCAGCAGCCGCGGUAAUACGGAGGAUCCGAGCGUUAUCCGGAUUUAUUGGGUUUAAAGGGAGCGUAGGCGGGUUGUUAAGUCAGUUGUGAAAGUUUGCGGCUCAACCGUAAAAUUGCAGUUGAUACUGGCAUCCUUGAGUACAGUAGAGGUAGGCGGAAUUCGUGGUGUAGCGGUGAAAUGCUUAGAUAUCACGAAGAACUCCGAUUGCGAAGGCAGCCUGCUGGACUGUAACUGACGCUGAUGCUCGAAAGUGUGGGUAUCAAACA
rnacentral:rRNA from 1 species